CGGCGAAGCCGCGAGGUGGAGCGAAUCCCAAAAAGCCGGUCUAAGUUCGGAUUGCAGGCUGCAACCCGCCUGUAUGAAGUUGGAAUCGCUAGUAAUCGCGGAUCAGCAUGCCGCGGUGAAUACGUUCCCGGGCCUUGUACACACCGCCCGUCACACCAUGAGAGUCGGGAACACCCGAAGUCCGUAGCCUAACCGCAAGGGGGGCGCGGCCGAAGGUGGGUUCGAUAAUUGGGGUGAAGUCGUAACAAGGUAUC
rnacentral:rRNA from 1 species